GAGAGUUUUAAUGUGUAGUUAUGAGUCAUUUAUUGUUUAUUUUGUUGGUAGUACACGGAUUUACUCAUUGCAAAACUGGUCCAGUUUUAGACGAUAAAGUCGCCUCAGCUUCAAUAAAUAAUACAAGGUCCACAAACAUAACCGAUCCAUUGAAUAGGACUGCUGAAAAUAAAAGUAAAGGUGAAGACUCAAAUUUGGACUUCAAGAAUGCCAAUGCCACAUUAACCCCAAAGCACAGCAUACUAUACAAUCAUUUUAAAGAAUUUCUGAAUUUCCAAAAGGAACUGUGGCUGAACUGGGAAUUUUACCUAAUUGAUUUAGCUUUUAUCAGUUGGGGAUGGUUGAUAUACACAUUUUUGUAUGAGCUAUGACUGAGUUUUUCAUCUAAUUAUCCAAGGUACCCUUUAUAUUCUGAAGUAAAAUAGAUUGUACAAGUGUA